UCUAGUCCAACACCCAGACUCUGAGAUUGC
rnacentral:piRNA from 1 species